UUGUUAUUAAUUCGAUUUCAUUUUUUUCGUCUACAUGUGUUUGUUUUCUCAAUUUUUCCUCGACUUCUACCUUUGGCGAAUAGAUUUAUAAAAUUCUGUUUUUAGAUUUAAUUAAUGAGUUGAUGAUGUUUGAAUGUAGUGUAGUUGAGUGUUGAAAUUUAAUUCACUGUCCAACAACACUUGGUUUUCCUCUGUCCCCAAGAUUUUUCUAUUAGUACUGUGUUCCUCGAUAUUCAAUUUUAUUUGUUGUGUUUUCGAGUUAUUUUUAUGCUUUACUCACCCAGUACAACUUCAAUAAAUAAACUUCUACGAGACAACUCGUUGCGUCGAAUCAGUUGUUCGAUUUGACAUAUCAUUUUUUGCAAGUGAAAUGCGUACUAUCUGUUUGGUUUAAUGCAUAAAUGUGUUGUUAAUUAGGACGUGAAUGUUUACUACCUGUUCGGUAAAAAAUGCAUGAAUGAAGGGCUUUAGUUGUGAAGUGCCUAUUCCUUUAAUGAUCGAUGUAUUAUGUGUUUGCAUUUUAUGAAACUUUUUUUAAUUAUCCUAUAGGUCAUGUAAAACGUCCUUAUAUAAAAAAUAACUACAACUAAUACAAUUGGGAGCUGAAUAUCUAAUUUCAUAUGUCCCAAUGUAAUGUUUCACUUGAAUACCUUACACAUAACAUUCACCAUGCACUAAUACAGAACUAUCACCCACCGAAAAUGUACACUUUUAUUGUUCAGAUAUGUGUUAUCAGUCAUUAGUCUCUUAUUAUUUGUUUAGUUAUUUUUUUUAGAAUUAGUUAUCUAUUAAUUGAACUAAUAAAUGUUGGACCUUUCUCUGAAGAUUACAGAUAAUCAUGUCUUCACUGAUAGUUUUCCUCAUAAAAAACAGAACUGCUCUUAGUACUUAGAUUGGUGUAUUUUCUCAUAUUUAACUACCUCUUGGGCUAUAGUUACCUGGUACUUAUACUUUAUUUUUUUUAUUUUUUUUGCAUUUUAUUGUCUUUUUGAUGAGUAGCUUUCUAGCUAUAUGUAUCAAUUCGUGGUGCUUUACAUAUACCUUCACAGAUGGAGAGAGAAAGCUCUAAAUAAGAAUUUAUAUAAAUUAUGAUGAGCAAAAUUGAGUACAACAUUUUGAGUUUCCGUAAGAGCUGAGGCAGCAACAACCAUUUGUGUAGUAGGGUGACUUGCAACGAAAUAGAAAAUUCAACAAUCUCCACCGGAACAACCUCUGAUCGUAAUUUUUGAUCAAAGUGAACCAAAUUUCCUCAUAUACUCCCUAGCCUCUUAGAAAUGUCUCAUCAAUAGAUUGUAAUAUAUUGAUUUUAUGAUGUUUACAUCCUCAAAAUAAUGUCUAGAAAAGAGCAAGAUUUAAUGCACUUGAAUGUACAAGAUAUAGAAUUGUUUGA